rnacentral:lncRNA from 10 species
AGUAACAACAAUACAAACAGCUAUGAAGAUUAUGUAUAGCUGGAGGCUACAAGCAGAUUGUUUUUUAAAGAUGCUGAGGAGCAGAUUUCUCAUGGGGAGCACCUUCUGAUACAUUUUAAUACGUUUCUUACAGGCUAGUCAAAUAAAGCAGUGGGAGUGGAAAAGGAUCAAAGAAAUCUGUAACCGGUUAUGAUCAAUUAGUUGUAAACACCACUGCACGAGGACCAGCCCAAAGCUGCUACUUAACCAAGUGACUUUCUGAUUGCUCAACUGUGUUUCCACUGAGAAAAAUGCAUUGAAAUGAAACAUCUCAUUUCCAGUACUGUCCUGAGGCAAAAAGAGACAAUGAUACGUAUCUCCAAUUUAGACUGGAUGAAACUAGCCACAUUUCAAAUAAAGAAGUCACAUUGUAAGUGUAAAACGACGUUAACCUUAAAGGAGACAUUUCCGCCCUGUAUAACUAUGCACAGCUUCAACUAAUGGUAUAUGAACUGUGUCUACAAACCAAAGGACAUUUUUCUAAAGAAACUUUAAAUAUAGAAAAUUAACUCAAACCUUACCUUAGAGCUUCCUCCUCUAUUGUCUUUUCCUGUAGUGGUAGUCUCUGUGGCACUUACAGGUGGUAAACAAAUAAAAAAGUGUCUUAUUGAAUUAACUUGAUUGCCAUAUUGAUCAGUUUUAUGUGUUUUUAUUCUUAAGCAUAACAAUAAAAGAAAAUGAUUAAGCAAUGUUUUGCUUAAAAAAAAAAGAUUUCAUGGCAGAGAAGCAAUUGAGUCCAGUUAAGAGACAGUUAAGAACAUUUUUCAGUUUGGAGCUUUUGUUUUGUGAUGAGAACUUUGCCAGUUAGUCACAAAUGAACUUGAGCACAUUUUCUUGAGCGUGAUGGCUGAACAGAUGAGCCACACACACUUUAUAGUGAGUUUUACUGCACUGAGUCUUUACCUACUAUUCCUAGUAGUUACACAUAUUAAAUUAUUAAUAACUGAUCAACAUUUUAAAAGAAGGUUUCAAAAGAAAUGUAAUUAGAUUUUAUAGUUGAGUUUUAGCUAAUGUGUGAUUCCACAAAAGUUCAGGUGCCGAGAUUACAUUUCAAUUUAUACUUGCCAUCUGCUAGAAUAUUCCCCUCUGUCUACAGCAUCCUGACCAGAUCUCCAAAUUUUGAAAUCUGUUUUCAUUAUUCAAGACUCAUUGUACAUUUCAAAUACCAGGUUGAUUUCUUAGUCUCCAUGUUCUCCAUGUCUGCUUAUGACUUUACAGAAAAAAUGUUAUUUACUAUGCAUAUUAAUAUUGAGAUUCUUUACUAUGCUGUAUCUUUUUUUUUUUUUUUUUUUUUUUGAGAUGGAGUCUCACUAUGUUGCCCAGGCUGGAGUGCAGUGGCGCCAUCUCGGCUCACUGCAAGCUUCGCCUCCUGGGUUCAUGCCAUUCUCCUACCUCAGCCUCCUGAGUAGCUGGGAUUCUAAUCUCCGCCACCACGCCUGGCCAAUUUUUUGUAUUUUUAGUAGAGACAGGGUUUCACUUUGUUAGCCAGGAUGGGAGCUCGUAAUCCGCCCACCUCGGCCUCCCAAAGCUGGGAUUACAGGCGUGAGCCACUGUGCCUGGCCUACUAUGCUGUAUUCUUAUAGUUAACAGCAUGCUCUUUGAUAAUAUCUCAUUGGAAAUAUUUAUGCUCUGAAACAUUAUUUUUUGAAUUGUUAAAUAUAAAUCAUUUAUACAGCAAUACUUUAU